rnacentral:tRNA from 1 species
GUUUCUUUGGCUAAGUGGUUAAGGCGUGUGCCUGCUAAGUACAUGGGGUUUCCCCGCCAGAGUUUGAAUCUCUCGGGCGACG